UAAUUUCCUUUUUUGGUAUGUUUAUACAUUUGAUAUGCAGGCACACUUGAUUAUUCGUGCAUGCCGGCAGCUCCUCCGGCUCCUGCUGUUCCGCACAAUUCGUCCUUCUUCGAUCCUUGCUAUUGGAUCUACUGUGGAGAAGGAAAAUGCACAAAGAAUACAACACGUGCACACACGUGCCAAUGCAAUCCUGGCUACUCCAAUCUUCUCAACAUAACUGCUUUCCCUUGCUACAAUGACUGUAAGAACUUUUUUUUUUUUUUUCACCUAUGUAUAAUUGCUGUAUUUUCUAUUUAUUAUUUAUAAAUUAAAAUUAAUUAUAAAAUAUUUUAUACUGAUGAAUUUGUACUAAUUAUUUGUAGGUGCAAUCGGGUCGGAGUCGUGUGAGAGGCUCGGAAUAAGGAGCGCUAGUUCUACUUCGAACCCUUCUUCUAAAAAUAAUGACAAUAAUCAAGCUAUAGCAUUCUCUAUGGGGAAGUUCAACUUGAUGACAAUAUUGCUCGCCACUACUGCUACGAUUUUCUUGAAAUUAUAAGGCUCUUAAUUUGUUUUGUUGGUGUAUCUAUUAUUUGGCUUUUACAUUUUUGCCCCUACCACGAUUUUUAAUUUUUCUAGUUUUUUAUUGGUUGUAAAACUUUGAUGUUUUAUAAAUAAAUAAUACGAACAUAUAUAGGAAGCUCGUUGUUGUAUACAAAAUAAAUGAAACAUUGUUUCAUCUUUUACGUUGA